UUCCUCCAUGCAGAUCUCCUCUAGAGCAGUGAUGUUUUGGGGCUGUCGCUGGGCAACACAGACUUUCAACUCUCUCCAAAGAUUUUCUAUGGGGUUGAGAUCUGGAAACGGGCAAGGACCUUGAUAAGCUUCUUACGAAGGUACUCCCUCGUUACCCGGGCAUUGUGCUUGGGACCGUUAUCGUGCUGAAAGACCCAGACACGUUUCAUCUUCAAUGCCCUUUCUGAUGGAAGGAGGUUUUCACUCAAAAUCUGACAUAACAUGGCCCUAUUCAUUCUUUCCUUUACAUAGAUCAGUCAUCUUGGUCCCUUUGCUGAAAAACAACUCCAAAGCAUGAUGUUUCCACCCCCAUGCUUUACAGUAGUUAUGGUGUAUUUAGAUGAAACUCAGCAUUCUUUCUCCUCCAAACAUGACCAGACGAAUUCUUACUGAAAAGUUCUACUUUGGUUUCAUCUAACCAUAGGAUAUUCUCCCAAUCCUCUUCUGGAUCAUCCAGAUGCUCUCUAGCAACUUAAGACGGGCCUGCACAUGUACUGGCUUUAGCAGGAGGACACAUCUGGAACUGCAGGAUUUGAGUCUCUGCAUAGCUGCGUAGUAUGUAACUGAUGGUAGCCUUUGUUACUUUGGUCCCAACUCUCUGCAGGUCAUUUACUAGCUCCCUCCUUGUGGUUCUGGGAUUUUUGCACACAGUUCUUGUGAUCAUUUUGACCCCACGAGGUGAGAUCUUGUGAGGAGUCCCAGAUGGAGGGAUAUUAUCAAUGGUCUUGUAUGUCUUCCAUUUCUUAAUAAUUGCUCCCACAGUUGAUUUAUUCACACCAAGCUGUUUACCUAUUGCAAAUUCACCUCUUUGGUCUUGAUCACAAUGGAGUUUGGAGUGUGACUGUUUGAGUUUGUGGACAGGUGUCCACAUAGAUACUGAUUUUAAACAGGUGCCAUUAUUACAGUUAACGAGUGGAGGACAGAGGAUCAACGCACAGAAGAGGUUUCAGGUUCCAGAUUGUUUCACUUUGUUCUGAGAUCCGUUCCACCGUGUUCCCCAUCAGUGCGAUGAGCAUGUUCAGCAUCAGGAUUGAAUUCCAGAUCUCCCAUUCCAAUGGUGAACUUGAACAGCUCCAAUGUGGUGAAACCAAUAUCAUUGUAACUGGGCUUUUCGCACAAGACAAAGCUCCUUGCUCUUGGAUGGGUAUCAUUGUGAGAUGUAGAAAGCCACAGUGGUGAAGAUGGCGAGGUACAUCAAGUAGCACAAAAAGUUCAGGAGGAACAGUUUGGCACCAAAUCUCUCCCACUUGUCCUGAAGAAGACUGCGCAGAGGCUCCAGCUUGAUCAUCUCAGGUCGAUUCUGAAACGGAGCAGAAAAGUCUGCUUUGAUUUAAAGGUUUCUCUUUAUUUGCUGAUACAUUCCCAGGUUUAUUCAGAUUUGUAAUCAUUUCAUGCUUUUUGUAGAUGUUGCCUUUUUUGGCACUGACAUGCUAUUUUAGACAUGAAUGCUUUACCAGAACACACACAUGACUGAGUCAUAUUCUAAAGCAGGACACAACAAGUCCAACUGUGAUGAUUUACAGCUAAUGUUCAUCAUCACAUUCCUUAAUAUUUGUUAAUAGUCAGAUGUUCUUUCUUGUCUGUUGUAAUGAAGAAUAUUCCAGA